rnacentral:rRNA from 1 species
GAUAGUCCCGUAUGCGAAAAACAAAGCUUAGCUAGCAGUAUCCUGAGUAGGGCGGGACACGAGGAAUCCUGUCUGAAUCCGGGUCGACCACGAUCCAACCCUAAAUACUAAUACCAGAUCGAUAGUGCACAAGUACCGUGAGGGAAAGGUGAAAAGAACUGAGGUGAUCAGAGUGAAAUAGAACCUGAAACCAUUUGCUUACAAUCAUUCAGAGCACUAUGUAGCAAUACAGUGUGAUGGACUGCCUUUUGCAUAAUGAGCCUGCGAGUUGUGGUGUCUGGCAAGGUUAAGCAAACGCGAAGCCGUAGCGAAAGCGAGUCUGAAUAGGGCGCUUAGUCAGAUGCUGCAGACCCGAAACGAAGUGAUCUAUCCAUGAGCAAGUUGAAGCUAGUGUAAGAACUAGUGGAGGACUGAACCCAUAGGCGUUGAAAAGCCCCGGGAUGACUUGUGGAUAGGGGUGAAAGGCCAAUCAAACUUCGUGAUAGCUGGUUCUCUCCGAAAUAUAUUUAGGUAUAGCGUUGUGUCGUAAUAUAAGGGGGUAGAGCACUGAAUGGGCUAGGGCAUACACCAAUGUACCAAACCCUAUCAAACUCCGAAUACCUUAUAUGUAAUCACAGCAGUCAGGCGGCGAGUGAUAAAAUCCGUCGUCAAGAGGGAAACAACCCAGACUACCAGCUAAGGUCCCUAAAUCUUACUUAAGUGGAAAACGAUGUGAAGUUACUUAAACAACCAGGAGGUUGGCUUAGAAGCAGCCAUCCUUUAAAGAAAGCGUAAUAGCUCACUGGUCUAGUGAUUUUGCGCGGAAAAUAUAACGGGGCUAAAGUAAGUACCGAAGCUGUAGACUUGCGCACAACUUAGAUUAUUUAAGUUUAGAAUAUGAGAAACUAAGUUAUGUUUAGUUAUAUUUUUACUGAUUUUUAUAGAGUAAAGAUAGAAAUAAAACUUAGUAAAAUCAGUAAAAAUAUUCUUAGGCUAAAGUUAAGUAGUUUAAGUUGUGUGCAAGUGGUAGGAGAGCGUUCUAUUUGCGUCGAAGGUAUACCGGUAAGGAGUGCUGGAGCGAAUAGAAGUGAGCAUGCAGGCAUGAGUAGCGAUAAUUAAUGUGAGAAUCAUUAACGCCGUAAACCCAAGGUUUCCUACGCGAUGCUCGUCAUCGUAGGGUUAGUCGGGUCCUAAGUCGAGUCCGAAAGGGGUAGACGAUGGCAAAUUGGUUAAUAUUCCAAUACCAACAUUAGUGUGCGAUGGAAGGACGCUUAGGGCUAAGGGGGCUAGCGGAUGGAAGUGCUAGUCUAAGGUCGUAGGAGGUUAUACAGGCAAAUCCGUAUAACAAUACUCCGAGAACUGAAAGGCUUUUUGAAGUCUUCGGAUGGAUAGAAGAACCCCUGAUGCCGUCGAGCCAAGAAAAGUUUCUAAGUUUAGCUAAUGUUGCCCGUACCGUAAACCGACACAGGUGGGUGGGAUGAGUAUUCUAAGGCGCGUGGAAGAACUCUCUUUAAGGAACUCUGCAAAAUAGCACCGUAUCUUCGGUAUAAGGUGUGGUUAGCUUUGUAUUAGGAUUUACUCCGAAAGCAAGGAAACUUACAACAAAGAGUCCCUCCCGACUGUUUACCAAAAACACAGCACUCUGCUAACUCGUAAGAGGAUGUAUAGGGUGUGACGCCUGCCCGGUGCUCGAAGGUUAAUUGAUGGGGUUAGCAUUAGCGAAGCUCUUGAUCGAAGCCCGAGUAAACGGCGGCCGUAACUAUAACGGUCCUAAGGUAGCGAAAUUCCUUGUCGGUUAAAUACCGACCUGCAUGAAUGGCGUAACGAGAUGGGAGCUGUCUCAAAGAGGGAUCCAGUGAAAUUGUAGUGGAGGUGAAAAUUCCUCCUACCCGCGGCAAGACGGAAAGACCCCGUGGACCUUUACUACAGCUUGACACUGCUACUUGGAUAAGAAUGUGCAGGAUAGGUGGGAGGCUUUGAGUAUAUGACGCCAGUUGUAUAUGAGCCAUUGUUGAGAUACCACUCUUUCUUAUUUGGGUAGCUAACCAGCUUGAGUUAUCCUCAAGUGGGACAAUGUCUGGUGGGUAGUUUGACUGGGGCGGUCGCCUCCCAAAUAAUAACGGAGGCUUACAAAGGUUGGCUCAGAACGG